GGCACAGUCAUUAACGGAGCGUCGCUGUGAGCAUAGGGCUCUGCCAUACCGAAGGUGUCUUUCUAAGACAGUUCUCGGCCUUGUUGAAUGGUUGAAACUCGGGGAAGCGUUCCAACCUCUUUCCUGAAGACGGUCACCGAGAGGACAUUGGCAGUGACUGACGGCGCGCAGGCUGCAGAUCUUCCCAACAGUGGGAGCAUGUGAAAGUCCUGCCAGCAGCCAGCGCAGAUCGUCUGAAGAUGAGGUUGACACCCGCCAGCUCGGGUCGUGUGGCCUCAAUGGUGGUGUUGAUGUCGCUGCUGGCUGUCAGCUUGGGCUGUAGCGAGUCUUCCAUCGCCCGACUCUCGUGCUGCAAAGUUCAACCCAGCUUCGACGGGACUGAGGAAAUCGUCUGUGUCUGUCCUGAUCUAAAAGAGAUGGUGCUGACACCAGACUCCAUCCCGGAAAGCGUCACGUCUGUGAGCAUCUCCAAGCUGUCCAACCUCACCAUCGGUGGCGACUCGUUCUACAAGCUGAACUCACUCAUCGACUUGAAGCUGCAAGACAUCGGGAAUGUCACUGUGGAAAGUAGUGGGCUGAACUUGCCUGAGAAAAAUCAGCUGCAUUAUUUCUCUGCCAGAGAUAUUGGGUUCCUUCGCAUUCACAUUCACGCUUUAAAAGGGACGUGGAGGGACCUUUCAGCGACAACAAUUACAUUCGAGGACAUCAAAAAGCUGGACAUUGCCUCCAGAGGAUUCAGCUAUACCACCAGCCGUGAUGGCCCAACCGUGAUCAUCCGGAAUAUCGCAAACCUUACAUUGGCCUCAGAGGCCCUUGACGCCCGCAUCAGAGAACUUCAGCUAGAAAAGGUUGUCAUGCAAGAAUGCUCCGAAAGAACUUUUGACAACAAGAUCGGCUCCGUUAAGCUGAGCAGCGUGAACAUAUCAGAACUCGAAAAGCGAUGUUUCCACGGAGUAGGAGAACUCGGCGUCAGUUCAACUAGUGGAGUUCACAUCACCUCGAGCUCGCUGGGCACUGUACAUCGAGAGGCGUUUUCUGGAAGCAUGAAAAGCAUUAAGCUACAGGAAAACACCGAGGUUGGAAGUGUGACUGAAAACGGAUUUCAAGUGGAUGUCAAGGAUUUCUGCAUCGAAGAUUCCAAGAUCGGUACCCUAAGCUCUGGAAGUCUAUCGGUCACAUUCAUGGACACGUUUUCUGUGAAGGAAGUAGGCAUCGAACAUCUCCGCAAGGGCGCGUUCAGAGGCGUCAAAGCGACGCCGCAUCGAACCCCUACAGUAAGCCUGGACGCCCUAGUGAUCGAGAAUGCAGAGCCCGGAUCGUUGUCUUUCCAGCGCUGUCUGCACGUGGAGGCCUCUGACCUUGACAUCCAAUCGUCCGACGUGGAGAGAUGUCCCACAGAACAGUGGACUCGCGGGCUAAUGGGGCUUGAUGCCCAGCAGAAGGUGUUUGCUGAUGUGUACAGCUUAUACAGUUGUUUGCACGACAGUAACAGCCCGUGCGUUAAGGAUACUAAACGCUGGCAAACACUGCUUGUCGAGGACAGUUCAUGCGACUACGCAACCGGGAAGGAGGAUGAGAAGAUCGAUAGUAAUGUUCAUGGUCAAGAAAAAGGUGCGAAUGUGGACUGGGACGAUGGAGAGAAAAGUGUUGGGGAUCAACAAGGAUCAUUCAAUAGAAACGUUCAAGAAGAGAACAAAACUGACGCGAGUAAAUCAAAAGGCGCUAAUGAGACUCAAAGAGGCGAUUUUCAAACUGAAGAUGAAAUCAGAAGAGAAGCGGACGCAGCGGUGGAAGACGAAACUGACAUGGAGGAAAAGAAAGGCACCGGAAAGGAGAGUGACACGAGCGGAGGACAGGCGAAUGACGAUCGGACCAGCACUCACGAGCAAGACCCUGAUGCCCGGACGCCAUCAGCAAACAGCCCAUUGUCUGGCCUUUGGCCAGUACUCAUUGUGAUUUCAUUCUGGGUGUUAAUUUUGGGUGGCGCUUGGUGCAGGCGGGGUAGGCCGACGCAAACCAUCUAUCGUCAAACAAAUGCGGACUCUCAGGGUGACUUUUUGAUGGGUGAACGUCCUAGAGAGAACGACGCUGUUGAACAACCAAACCAAUAAGAACAGGCGGCCAUGAGACGAAACACUGAGCCUGUCCUUAGAAGUGGCCGAAGUAGUUCACUGAUUUAUUUGAGACAAUUCGAACAUCAGUUGCCACCACGCGAGCCAAGGUCUCAAAUAGAAUAAUAAGAAAUUGUUCCUGGCCGGUAACCACAGGAUAUCGCUUCUCAGCUUUCGGCAUAUCAACGAGCCCGCCCCCCCCCCCAUUCUAGUCUCUAGAUCCUCCCGACUGAACGCUGCUCUGCCCCCCCCCUGCGUGUGAGAAACGGUGCAGGCAAGCGCAGCUUUCUGUUUCGCUUUCUGUAUGUGUACGAGCAUUUAUGUAAGUUAGCCGCUUCAAGUAGUUAUCUGAUGCUCUUCCCGUGACUUGUCCAGCUUGUCUGUUUAACGUUAAGCAGCUUUAUUUGCAGUUGGCUUCUGAUUUAUAUGUGGAUCGGAGAUAAUUUGUGAUUUGUUGUGCUUGGAGUGAUUGAGGCGCGGCUCAAAGUGUGCGCCUAAUUAACAUCCUUUCCCUUAUUAAGCGAUCGAUGUGGCGUUCAAAAUAGCCGGUGAUGUUUUGGUGAUUACUGAUUGUUGUAGCUGUCCUUGCAUCCAUAUUAAGCUACAUGUAUGUAUGUAGCUAUGUAGUUUAAUAGUGAACAAAUAUGCGUUGUGAUUGAGGGUAUUGUAAUGCUUUAUUAUGUGCGUAUAUAUAUUAUAU